CCGCACUAGUUGGGGAAUUAGCGGCGCCCUGAACCCUUAAUCCGCUAUAAUGGGGACGAAUGCUCUUUUGAGGUAUGGGUUAUGUAAGGUCUGCAUUAACGAACAGUAUGAUGAGAGUCCGGUCCCGCGCAACAAAGGGUUAUGAACCUCGUCAGGUCGGGAACGAAGCAGCGAUAAGUAAUUUUCUUUGUGUGCCGUGGGGCUGCCGGGCUUGAAUAUUUUUCGUUCUUAACGCUUAUGUAAUCGUAUCGACUUUGAGAUGUGCGG
rnacentral:SRP_RNA from 1 species